rnacentral:rRNA from 1 species
GACGAACGCUGGCGGCGUGCUUAACACAUGCAAGUCGAACGGUGAAGCGCCUUCCUUUUUGGUGGGUGUGGAUGAGUGGCGAACGGGUGAGUAACACGUGAGUAACCUGCCCCCUUCUUCUGGAUAACCGCAUGAAAGUGUGGCUAAUACGGGAUAUUCUGGGUCUGUCGCAUGAUGGGUCUGGGAAAGAUAUUGUUUCGGUGGGGGAUGGGCUCGCGGCCUAUCAGCUUGUUGGUGGGGUGAUGGCCUACCAAGGCGGUGACGGGUAGCCGGCCUGAGAGGGUGGAGGGUCACAGGGGGACUGAGAAACGGCCAAGACCCCUAGGGGAGGCAGCAGGGGGGAAUAUGGCAGAGGGGGCGCAGGCCUGAGGCGGCGACGCCGGGGGAGGGAGGGAGGCUUUGGGUUUGUGAACCUUUGUCGCAGGGGAAGCAGGCCUGCCUCGUUUGGGGGUGGUUGGAGGUGAGCUGGAUAAGAAGCGCGGCUAAACUCGGGC